rnacentral:lncRNA from 10 species
AGACUGCACCGAAACUUCAUGAGACCUUCCCUCGCUGUGCAUGGACCAGUGGCUGACUCUGGAGCACAGGCUGUUGCUUCCCGGUCUGGUGAUGAAUCCUCCAUAGUUUGGCAUCUCCCGCACAGAACAGCAUGGUGGCGGGUGCCUGUAAUCCCAGCUAUUCAGGAGGCUUGAGGCAGGAGAAUCGCUUGAACCUGGGAGGCAGAGGUUGCAGUGAGCAGAGACUGCAUCAGAGCAGCCUGGGUGACAGAGUAAGAUUCUGUGAAAGAAAAGUGAAGAAAAAAGAGAAGAGAAGAGAAGAACAAAAAAUUCUAAAAUUUAUGUGGAGUCACAAAACACCCGAAUAGCCAAAGCUAUCUUAAGCAAAAAGAACAAAACUGGGGGAAUCACAUUACCGGAUUUCCAAUUAUACUGGAGAGCUAUAGUAACCAAAACAGCAUGGUAUUGGCAUAAAAACACACAUAUAGACCAAUGGAACAGAAUAGAGAACCCAGAAACAAAAUCCACACACCUACAGUGAAGUCAUUUUCCACAAAGGUGCCAAGAACGUACACUGAGGAAAAGACAGUCUCUUCAAUAAAUGGUGCUGGGAAAACUGAAUAUCCAUAAUGCAGAAGAAUGAAACUAGACCCCUACCUCUCACCAUAAACAAAAAUCAAAUCAAAAUGAAUUAAAGACUUAAAUCUAAGAUCUUAAA